rnacentral:rRNA from 1 species
GAUGAACGCUGGCGGCGUGCCUAAUACACGCAAGUCGAACGAGGUCUUCGGACCUAGUGGCGAACGGGUGAGUAACACGUUGGUACCUACCCCGAAGUGGGGAAUAACUGCCCGAAAGGGUGGCUAAUACCGCAUAAUACCGCAAGGUUAAAGCAGUAAUGCGCUUCGGGAGGGGCCUGCGUCCCAGUAGCUAGUUGGUAGGGUAAUGGCCUACCAAGGCGACGAUGGGUAGCUGGAUCGAGAGGUUGACCAGCCACACUGGGACUGAGAUACGGCCCAGACUCCUACGGGAGGCAGCAGUAAGGAAUCUUCCACAAUGGACGAAAGUCUGAUGGAGCAACGCCGCGUGCAGGAUGACGGCCUUCGGGUUGUAAACUGCUUUUAUACGGGAAGAUCAUGACGGUACCGUAUGAAUAAGGACCGGCUAACUACGUGCCAGCAGCCGCGGUAA